UGAGAGUGAGUUUCUUAGUGAGGCAGUAAGAGAGCAAGCUACCCCACAGACAGCAGCCCCCCUGUUUUUUGUGGGCCUUGCUUCCUGUUUUGAGGUUUGUUAAAUGGGUGUUAGGGCAUUCAGUGAAGAGGAGGAGGCGAGUUCAGAAUCAUCCCGGAAAGGGGUGGAGAGGACUUGGAGGAGCUCCGUCGGCCAUUCUGCAUCCUUAUGUGGGCUGUUGGCUUCCCUGGUGUGCCAUGUAGCUUCUGAUGCUUAUAAUGAGCAUCUAAAGAGAUGGGAGUCUGUUGAUAGAGGACUCAAUUGUGUUCUCUGAUGCACCAUCAACCAAAGCAUUUCUAGCCUAUUUUAGGAAAUAAUGACACCACACUCAGGAGUUUAUUAGCAUUUAUUUGAACCAAACAAAGUGUAUGCCUGGAAGCAAGACCUCAACAGACUUAGAAAAACACUUCCCAGAAAAGACUGUGUGGAGUCUGUUCAUGCCUUUGGAACGAAGGGGGAAGGGUGCUCGUCCGUUUUCUUGGGGACCGACGGUGCAUAGGAGCUGGAUGCAUAAGCGGGGCGUUUGAAGUGGCGCAGCGGAGGCUUGAUCACUGGCGGCCAUACAAAGGAAGGACAGACAGCUGUUAGCUCAGCGAGGCCCCAGCAAGCUCCUCAGCCCGAGACCUGUUUGCUGUCUUCAAAACCAAGAAACAAACAGAGCUAAACUCUCCCUGGAGUCUGAGGGAGAUAGAUGAAUCGGACAGAUGAAUAAGCAUAUCAUCACCUUGGCCACUCACUUUAAAUAAAGACAAAUUCCCAGAGAU